UGUUAUAUUGAUGUGUCUGUGGCUUUCACUAGGUGACUCCAUGGCAGAUUCAAUAGAGACACUUGUUACUCAUAAAGCUGUAGAUGAAGGUGAAAAUGUUACUCUGUCCUGCAGAUACAAAACAAGUGCACCAAACAACAACCUGCACUGGUACAGACAACAUCCAAAAUCUAAACCUAAGUUCCUUCUUAUUAUUUUGCAAAGUGGAUCUCUAGCUUCUGAUAAACCAGCACGAAUGGAUGCUAAAAUUCGUAAAGAUGAAGUGGAUCUGAUCAUCUCCUCUGCUGCUGUAUCAGACUCUGCUCUAUACUACUGUGCUCGUUGA